rnacentral:lncRNA from 1 species
ACUGGCCCUGGGCAGGACCUGGGGCCCAGAGAGGCCUAGAGAGAAUCCCCAUUGAUCUGGAAGUAGGAGGUCAAACACAGGCUGGCCAGUUCCUGAAAGUCCAGACUCUCAAGUUCCUCAGGCUGGACCUGUCUGAUCCUGAGUAGGCCUGAAGGUCAAGAGUGUACAAACUUGCUUCUAUGAACAGCUCAGAGGGAAUCCAGAAAGACAGAACUCAAAAGGAGGGACUGG